rnacentral:rRNA from 1 species
CCGGCCCUACGGGGGGCAGCAGUGGGGAAUAUUGCACAAUGGGGGAAACCCUGAUGCAGCGACGCCGCGUGAGUGAAGAAGUAGUUCGGUAUGUAAAGCUCUAUCAGCAGGAACGAGACAAGACGGUACCUGACUAAGAAGCCCCGGCUAACUACGUGCCAGCAGCCGCGGUAAUACGUAGGGGGCAAGCGUUAUCCGGAAUCACUGGGUGUAAAGGGAGCGGAGACGGCUGAGCAAGCCUGAUGUGAAAGGCAGGGGCCCAACCCCUGGAGUGCUUUGGGAACUGUACGGCUGGAGUGCAGGAG